UACGAAGGGGGCUAGCGUUGCUCGGAAUCACUGGGCGUAAAGCGCACGUAGGCGGCUUUCUAAGUCAGGGGUGAAAUCCUGGAGCUCAACUCCAGAACUGCCUUUGAUACUGGAGAGCUUGAGUCCGGAAGAGGUGAGUGGAACUCCGAGUGUAGAGGUGAAAUUCGUAGAUAUUCGGAAGAACACCAGUGGCGAAGGCGGCUCACUGGUCCGGUACUGACGCUGAUUGUGCGAAAGCGUGGGGAGCAAACAGGG
rnacentral:rRNA from 1 species